rnacentral:lncRNA from 10 species
CUUCAACAGUUGUUGGUUGAAAUGACACGUGAUUCCAGCCUGCACUAGGUGACGCUGAAGCCACAGAAGACACUGCAGUGGGAAAACCAGCAUGAGCCGCUGCCCCCAAGGAACCUCGAAGCCCAGGCAGAGGACCAGCCAUCCCAGCCCGCAGGUAAAGUGUGUCACCUGUCAGGUGGGCUUGGGGUGAGUGGGUGGGGGAAGUGUGUGUGCAAAGGGGGUGUGAGUGUGUAUGUGUGUGAGCACAUGAGUGAUGGCUAGUGUGACUGCAUGUCAGGGAGUGUGAACAAGCGUGCGAGGGUUGUGUGCAAGUGCGUAUGCAUAUGAGAAUAUGUGUCUGUGGAUGAGUGCAUUUGAAAGUCUGUGUGUGUGUGGUCAUGAGGGUAAGUUAGUGACUGAAUGCGCAGGAUGUGAGUGUGCAUGGAACACUCAGUGUGUGUGUGGCAAGUGUGUAGGCGUGUGAGGACAGGCAGAAGUGUGUCAGUGUUGUGAUGGGAGUGUGAAUGAGUGUGCAAAAAGGUGAGUGAAUGCAUGGAAGUGUGUGUCAACUAUGAAGGCAUGUAGUGUGUCAGUGUGUGCAGUGCAAGCAUGUGUGGGAAUGAGUGCUUGUUGGUGUGUCCAUAUCCAACGGGUAUGUGUGAAAGCAUGUAAAAGUGUGUGUAGUGUGAUGGUGUGUGGAUGUAUCAGUGUGUAUAAAUGAGAGCAUGUAAAUGUGUAUGUAUGAGUGUUGAGUGUGCAUAUGUGAGGCUGUGCGUGUGAGUGUAACCAUGAGGGUGUGAACGUGCUUAAGUGUAUGUGCGUGUGACAGUGCAAGUGUAGGGGUGUGAUGCAUGUGUGGGUUUGCCAGUGUAUGAGUGUACAUGGUGUGGAUCUGAAUGUGCACAGUGUAAAGGGCAUGAGUGCAAGUGUGUGUGAGUGUAUGUGAAUGAGUGGUAGUGUGCAUGCAUGUGUGAGUGCACGCUCAGAAGCAUGGAUGGGUGCAAGCCUCCCCUACUAACUCC